UUCAGAAGUGUGUGUGUUUAAGUGAGUGAGGGAGGGAGGGAAAAUAAGAGUAAAAAUGGUGCUGAUCGGUGCUGCUAGGGCUGGCCACGGCGGUGGUGCGGAGGGUGGGUUGGCAGUGGCUGGAGAUGACUCCAGUAUGUCCGAUUUCUGUAAAAACAGCCCCAAACACUUCACACUUCAACAAAUUUGACAUUUUUGAAAGGAGGUGGAGAGUGCACGUUUUUUCAAAACGAGUUUGAUCUCGGUUUGACCAAAUGGCAGGGGUCGAGAGAGCAACUCCCAGUCCAGAAAUUUAUUUCAUUUAGGAAAGUAGUAUGAAAAUUAUUAUUUUCAGAUAGUAUUUUUGAUAAUUAACUUGAAACCAUCAUCCCUUAUUUAUGGGAUAAAAUCAACAUUUCAUGUCAAAUUAUCUUAUCUUUGGUAAUCAAAAUCUGAUUUCUACAAACCCUAAUUUGUGGGCUCAUGUCUAUGUGUUGAUACAUAAUUGUUCCUUGAAGGAUUAUGUAUAUAAUUUGGAUUUCGGGUAGCCCAAACACAAUGUCAAAAUAUCAUAUUUGGAAAGUGGUCACACGAGCUUUCAAACAUAUCCAAAAUUCAUAUCGAUUUCAGAAACAUUUUUAUCCUUCCGACCCUAACAAAAAUGACACCCUCACAUCUUGAAUAAUACAAAUGAUUUCUUUUAUUAGUUGAUAAAUAUAUUGAAUUUUAGGGAAUAUCCUUGUUUUAUGGGAGACUAGUUUGGUUAUAUGGCCUUUUGAAGAAGAAGCCAAACAGACAUGUACAGAAGCCACAAUACAUCGUCUCUAAUUAUGGUCAUAUGGGCCUCAAUGCUCAUAUGCAUUAGUCACAUUAUUUUAGUCAUCACGUUUUGUUAUUAUGCCCAUUGAUUGACGUGUUAUUGAUAAAUAUAAGUAUAAAAUUCAAUAUCAAGAGUUUACAAAUCAUACAUAAAACUGUCAAAUUAAACCAUCUAGAUGCACCAAGUUUAACAAGUAUUAAUGUGAUGUGGAAAAAGGAAAAUGUAAAUCUUAAUUAUUUUAUAUUUUUUUGAACAACAAACUAAUCUACUUUUUAAAUCACCUGAUCCAACAAGUCUUGAACCUAGAAUCUCUCAAUUGACUUACGGCUAGGCCGAACGCUUUUUAAGAUAAGGUCAUUAAACGAAUAAAACUACUUUUUGUUGUUUGUUCUUUUUGUUUAUAAAUGCUCUUUUUGUGAUAUAUCUCGAGUUACAAAAUGUUUAACCUUACAAACUAUGAACUUAACAUUUUAUAUUUGGUUUAUUUGUUGUGUUGGGAAUUAAUUCUAUGAUUCAUAUCCAACUAUUGAACUCUAUCAAUGCUUAAAGCUUUGAACAUUAAAACUUAAAAAAACAAAAAAAAAAAAAAAAAAAAAAAAAAAAAAAAAAAGUUGAGCUUCACAAGAUAGUGGUGAUAAUAAUCCGCACAUAAUAUAACUAUAUCAUGUAAAAAGUGACUUGAUUCAUAUCUAUUUUUAAUCUAUCAUUCUCUAAAAAUAGUAAAGUAUAAGAACACAAAAUAAUUGUUUCUUAUGAUUAAAUGUUUUUUUUUGCCUAGGUAAAAGUAUGUAAAUGUUAUCGGAACAAAUGAUUAUAUUAUGGAAUCAAUUAUUGAUAUGCAAUGAAUGACAAUUGGAAUGUUUUUCCUUUUCUGAAACAAAAUCAGAAAUCAUGAAAUUGACAACUCAAAACAGAAUUUGAAUUAUUUUCUCUCAUACUUCUGCAUGGAAGCUGAGUAGAUAUCCUCUUCUGUAAAAGUUAGAUUCUUCAUAUGUAUUUAUCUAAAUAAUAUAUACUUAUUAUCCUCAUCAAAUAAAUGUCCUUUUUUUAUGAGAAAGAAUACAUUUCUAAGAAAAACAGAAUAUGUGUCAAUUCAUGUACUUUGAUGAGUUUCUAAGUACAAAUAGUUAGUAAACUUUUUAAUAAAAUAUAACAUCUUGGCUAAGAAAUCAUAAAGAGACCAAUAAUUACAUUUUCAAACUAUCUAAAGUUAUGUUUGUUGGACUAGCUAAAAUACUGGUUGUUAGCUGAUGAAAAUUUUCAUUUGGUAAAAUUGUCUGAUAAUCAUUAUGUUUUAUAUGUAUCCUUUUGUUUGUUAAUCAUUAUGUAUGAUCCAAGGAAAAAUUGUUAUUUUGGGGAAUGAAUUGAUCUCAAACUUUGAAAUAUAUCAUACAACUGUACUUAAAUUUCAUUUGAAGUUGAAGAGGAUGAAACAAGAUGAAAUGGAAGCCAUGAGGUUUUGAACUAAACAUUUCAGGAAGUUUGGUUUUGUACACGUCCAUGACACUUUCAAAAGCUACAAUCAUUUGUUCAAAGCUUCCUACUUUGAACUAAUUCGAGAAAUAAACAUCUAUCAUAGAAUUAGGGCACACAAUGAUCGAGAGUACACCUCCAUAUCUGAGUUGGAUAGGUAAGAGGGGGAAGACAUAGUCGGUAUUUCAUCCUUCGAUCGCAUGGUAUCAUAUUGUUGACAUGGGUUGAAAAGAAUAAUUGAAGAUUCUAUCCAAACAAGUAGGGUAUAGACAAUAGUCAUGAUGAAGAUGUCUUUUUGAUAAACAAGUUGAGUUUGAGGACUUGUAGGGUACAAAAAAAUAAUAAAAAAAAUGUAGCUCUUACAUGUAAAAAAAUGUUUAUUGAACAUAUUUGUCAAUUUAAUAAUAAUAAUAAGAAUAAUAAUAAUAAUAAUAAUAAUAAUAAUAAUAAUAAUAAUAAUAAUAAAAAAGUGACUAAAUAUGUACAUGAAAAACAUUCGGUUACCCUUUUAAGUCUUUAACUCUAAAUUAGGUAGAGAAUAUCGAAGGUUUUACAUACAAUAUUUUUUUAAUCAUCACAAAGAUGGUCAUCCUUUAAAAGAUGAAAUGAAGACGAUGUUUAAAAACUAAUGUUUUAAAAACCAGGUCGAAUCGGCCGGUUAGACCAGGCCCGAGGAAUAUAGUGGUUCAACUAAUAAUGGUUUUAAGCUUAUUUAUGAGCCGAAACAAACCAUGUAGAUUUACAAAAACCUCGUUGAACCGGCUAUACUGAAUCAUUAAAAAACCUUAUUGAAUUGGUUUUGAUGAGCAAGCGGCAAUGUCUUUUAUUAGGAUGAAGUUGAUACUAAAAUUCACAUACUAAACAAUUGUGAGAUUGAUACAUUUAACACUCUAAUGUCUCAAAACCCAUAAUUUGGUUUGAUCAAAACCCAUAAUUUGGUUUGAUUAUAUGAUACAUUUAUAUUACAUUAUAUUUUGUUUUGGUAUUAUACUUUAUGUUUCUUUUUGAUAAAUCUAGAUUAUUGUAAAACUCAUUGUUAUGCUGGAAUUAUGGAAGUAAUUUGCAAUAAAUCUUACAUAACAAGAUGCACAAGAGUUGUUACAAAACACAUUUAUUUCGAGUUAUAAAAGAAUAUCACGUUUAUGAUCAACCCCAUGUUUAUUUAAAUUUGAAAUCACUCAACAGGAAGGGGAAAAAAAUCUGAACCACUUCCACAUUUUGACUGCGAAUCCUCUUCCAUCAUUUUAUUUUUUUAAAAGAAAAAGGUCAAGUCGUGGCAUGACUCAUGAGCAUGUUUACAUAUCAUUUACAUAGAUAUUAAAGCUCGUUGCCAUUUAAUAACCUUAAUUUUAAAAUAAAAUACAAAAUUAGAAAGUUGAGCAAGUCUAUGAUGUAUACUUAGAAGUUUAGUGACAUCAACCCUAACUAAAAUAUCACAGAAUCAAAAUCAACAAUAAUAUAAUCAAUAACAACAGAACUUAAUUUAAUUUUUUUCGUUACAUAUGAUAGAAAAAAAUAAAAUAAAAUCUUAUUAUGGUGUUAUUGUAUGAAUAUGAUGUGAUUUGAUUCAUGGCUUGUGGACUUUGUAACCGAAUACUCUUGGAACAUAUUCCUGCAACGUUGUCUUUUGUGGCUUCAAGUGUCCAUACGUUAAAAAGAACAAGUGAGGAAAUGUUGUCCCAAAAAAAGCUCCAUCAAGGUCUUAUUAUUUUACAUCUUGUUAAAGAAAAACAUUUCCACAAACAUAAAAUAUUUAAAAAAAAAAAAAAAAAAAAAAAAAAAAAAAAAAGUUAAAAAAGGAUACUAUCUUGAAACCUGAACUGAGGGGUAAAAAUGUCUUGACAUUUUGGGCAGUAAAUUUUGACACUUGUCUGGCGUGAAAUGUCAGAUUGACCAACAGGAAGACAUGGUUGACCAGAACAGAAGACUCUUGGACAUCUUCCGAAUUCUGUGUUCUUGUAUUUCUCAAGCUAUCAUCAAAGAUUAUUAUUAUUUACUGUAUUAAUUUUGAAGAAAAAUAAAGAAUUUUAAAUAGUUUUUACCAUAGCAGCUAAUCCUUUUGUUGUCAAGAUAAAUCUGACAUGUAUGAGACCAUAUAGAGUCUCUGCUGCUGAUUCAAUCUGUUCAAUUUGUUCCUCUGAAAAGGAAUCACCAUGAGAGGAUUCAGAGUCCAAGAUGAGAUCAAGGGCAUGAUCGUAAAAUGGAACUUGGUUGCUUAAUCCACAUAGAUUAAAGUCAUCUUGAAUAUAGUCAUCAUCAACUUCACAGAAGAAUUCAUUGCCACGUAGACUGCAAAACCAGGAAAUCCAAGAUGUUUCCUCCCCAUCUGAACCACUAACAUCUGAUUCCUCCUCCUCACUGUCUGUUUCAGAUUCCUCUACCACUUUUUCCUCUCCUACAUAUCCAUAAAAAAUUGUUAUUAAAGGAUGAAAAUCAAGUAUGUCAACCAUUCCCAUAACAGGUCUGCAACAAAAAUCAAAUGGAAGAGCUGCUUAAUCUACUUCUCAUGUUCACAACAUAACAAAUAGAUUCAUCUCGUUCUUCAUAUUCUAUCAUCCAAACAAAAGACUGCAAUUUCACAUGAAGAAAACUGCCUCAUAUUGAUAUUACCAAUAUUUGAUGCAUUUCAAUGAGCUCAUUUGGUUACCAAAACCAUACAAUCGUACGAAAACAGAUAAAUGGCUAAAAUCAUAAGUAUAACCUACGAAAUCGGCUUUUUUAACAAUGAUAUUGCACGAAUCUCGAGAGAGAGGGAGAAAAGAAAAACCUUUAGUCGGUUUCUUAUCGGGAUAAGAUGACACAGAGAGCCUGGAGUUCCCAGCUGAUAAACGGUCUUUGUUACGAUCUUUUCCAUCCAUACGUGAUCCCCCUUCGCCUCCAAUCGAAGCCAUGGCCGUUUCUGUUUUCGCCUUCGAUCCUCCUCCACCUCUCUCCCUGUACAUUUUAUCCUUCUUCCCUGUCUCUAUCUCGUUGAAAAAACAAAGCCUAAUCCUUCAGCAGGAAAUAUGAUUUUGAGAUGGAGAAAUUAGGGUUUUGGGUGUAAUUCGUGAUGGAAAAGAAAGGAAGUAAAAUUCAUUGUCUCACUCGGAAAUUGACGUUUGAGGGAUUGAGUUUAACAAGUGCGUUUAUAUGUAUAUGAUGGCGUCGGCGGAGGGAUUAUGCCGGCGGGAGCACAGAAGAGGUAGGGAGAAAUCGUAUCGUGUGCGAAGUUCGCCCUAGGAGGAUUCUUGCAAAUUCAUGGACAUUAAGAAAACAGUCGUUGGAAUUAUUUGGAUUCUAUCUUGGAGCAAAUGAAAUUUGGAGACAAAUGGAUGAAGUUGGAUUAGAGGGUGUUUAUCGUCCGGAAAAGCUUCAAUUUUGGUUAAUGGUUCGCCCACAAAAGAGUUCAAGAUUAGGAGAGGUGUUAGACAAUGUGAUCGUAUUUUGUCGCAUCUUAUGGAAUGUCUAAGUGUAUGUUUAAAGGAAGGUCUAAGUGUAUGUUAGACAAUGUGAUCCUUUUCUUUUAUCAUUGUCAUGGAAGGUGUAAGUGUAUGUUUAAAGGAA